UACGUAGGGGGCAAGCGUUGUCCGGAAUCACUGGGCGUAAAGCGCGCGCAGGCGGUCAUCUACGUCUGGGGUGAAAGCCCGGAGCUCAACUCCGGGAUUGCCUUGGAUACGGGAUGACUUGAGGAUCGGAGAGGCAAGGGGAAUUCCACGUGUAGCGGUGAAAUGCGUAGAUAUCGGGAGGAACACCUGUGGCGAAGGCGGCCACCUGGUUGGAUACUGACGCUGAGACGCGAAAGCGUGGGGAGCAAACAGG
rnacentral:rRNA from 1 species